AAAUGGAGGGGAUGGGGUAAUAUCCUGGUUGACAAAGAAUCCAAUUAGGAAGUUGUUGUAAUAGCCUAGACAGCAAACAAUGGUCCACCGGCAGUAUACUGCCCACAUGCCACUUGUGGCCUGUAAGCUAAGAAUGGUCCUUACAUUUUUAAAGAGCAUUUUAAAACAAAACAAUCCCCCCCCCCACAAGAAAGAAAGAAAGAAAGAAAGAAAGAAAGAAAGAAAGAGAAAGAGAGAGAGAGAGGAGGGGAGGGGAAGGGGGAGGGAAGGUAAAGGAAAGGAAAGGAGGAAGGAAGGAAGAAGGAAAGAAGAAAGAAAGAAAGAAAGAAAGAAAGAAAGAAAGAAAGAAAGAAAGAAAGAAAGAAAGAAAAAGAAAGAAAGCAAGUGAAAAACUAUUUGGCCUGUAAAGCCUACUACUUGGUCCUUUACCACAAAUGUUUGUUCACUAACCCCAGCUUUGACAACCGAUUGAACUGUAAAUGGAGUGUGACGAUAAAGCAUAAAACACUUUGUGAAGCAGAAUCAGAAACACUCACUGACUAAUCAGAUGCCUGUGGUUAAGAACAGGUAGAAGUGAAGACUGAUGCUAAGGCUUCUAUUUAAAGCUCAAGGCAGUUGGAGACACUAUUACCCGAGAGAAGGAAACAGAAAGGAGGAUAGUCUGUCUCAGAAAUUAAAUCACUUUGUUUUCACCAUUAACGAAAAAUAAGAUUAAAUGACAACAAGCCAAAAUGAGGUAACAGACUUACAGUAUUAUAAAAGUAGGAAAAAAACUUGCUCCAAAACAGUCAUUUGCUCUUGGAACAUGUGUUUUGCAACAAGGGGAAAAGUGUUACUUUUCCUAUAUUAGAUUUCUAAAAUGAAACGGCUGGUAUUUUACUGUAGAAAAGUGAAGUACAAUUCUAAAAUGUAUCACAUUUAAGUCUAACAUAACAAUAGUCUGUUUCUGCAUAUUUGCAUAUCCACUUUCUCAGGAAGCUUACAAAUAGUGUCUUCACGAGUAAUUGUCCACAAUGAAAGCCACUAUGCUACACACUUCUGAUAUGUUUUAGAUGUUCUACCUAAAAAAAAAAAUUUUUUUUUAAUGUUUAUUUAUUUUUGAGACAGAGAGAGACAGAGCAUGAACGGGGGAGGGUCAGAGAGAGGGAGACACAGAAUCCGAAACAGGCUCCAGGCUCUGAGCGGUCAGCACAGAGCCCGACGCGGGGCUCGAACUCACGGAUCCCGAGAUCAUGACCUGAGCCGAAGUCAGAGGCUUAACCAACUGAGCCACCCAGGCGCCCCUAGAUGUUCUACUUUUAAACACAGGUAAAAGCCCACUAGUAGCAUGAUAAAAAUGUUAAUCCUGAAAACCCUAAUUGCUUUCAGAAGCAAACACAUAUUACUUUCAAAAGUUUAUUAUUAUUAUUUUUAAUGUUUUAAUUAUUUUUGAGACAGAGAGACAGAGCAUGAGGGGGAGAGAGGCAGAGAGGCAGAGAUGCAGAAUUUGAAGCAGGCUCCAGGCUCGGAGGUAACAGAGCACAGAGCUCAACACGGGGCUUGAACCCAUGAACCGUGAGAUCAUGACCUGAGCCGAAGUCGGACGCUUAACCGACUGAGCCAUCCAGGCACCAACUUUCCAAACUUUAAAAGUUGAAGGGACAUGAGGUACAGGUGUAAUAAACAUAAUGGCAGAGUACUUAGAGAGGGUGUUCUAAACAGUAAAGAGUGCUUCCAUUGCUAACAGAGUGUUUGUGUAACUGCCACCCAAGAAAACAUUCAAGUGUCCUAUUCAUGAGACAAAAACCAAAGACGGAAGAGAAAAGUUACAAAGAAAAAACAGGACCUAAUUAUUUCUAGAGUAACAUACUAAAAUUGCAACUUGAAAUUCUCCAGAAGUUGCUACAUAAAAUUUAUGAGCAUUGAGAUGGUUUUAUAAGUAAGAUCCCUUUUCUCCAUUUAAGAGUUUUGAAAGAAUCAAUAAGUGAAGAUAGAAAGUUCCAGAAACAUAAAAAAAAAAAGGUCAAUUCAAGGUAAUAUAUAAGUAUAAUAAGGAAGAUAUUGCUCUUAUAAUUCCUUGCUAGUUCCAAAGCUCCAGCACUAAAUAUGAGAAAUCUGGAUUUCCCAGAUAAAAAUUAAGAACACGGUUGCUAUUCUUACAUCAAUUCUGGCUACUAUCUACCCAAUGCUUACUACUUGCUGGGCACAGUUCUGAAUGCCACGCAAACACUAUCACAAUAUUCACAAUAAACUUAUGAAUGUGGCACAGAUCCACAAUCCCUCAUCUGAACCCUGGGGACAAGAUACAGUUCAGAAUUUAGAGUUGUUCAGAUUUUGAGGAAGACAACACAGUGCAUAUACUGUCUGUGGUAGUUUAGGUUCCAGCAGGAAACAGGUGGCACACUCAAACUGGGAUAUGAGAGAACGUGUACAGAGGAGAGGGAAGGGUUUCCUAAGAGAGAGAUAAGGGAAACUGUUAGACAGUCGGACAGUAGACCUGAAGGAGUCAGGCGGGGAGCAGUUGCCAGAAACCAGACACAGAGAGGGCCGUCUGACAAAAACCAUGAUCUUCACAGAGGGAGGCAGUCAGCCCACCGUGGCCUUGCAGGAAGGGAGCUGAAAGAAUACACUCUUCCCCACAGGUCAAAGAGAAGGAGGUGAGCAAAGACGCCCAAUGCUAUCCUCCACACACAGCUCGGCCUCUCAGGGGACGACAGGGGCGUACAGGGAGUGGAUCUGGAGAGGCCACGGCAAGUUACCCAGCACCCAGCUGUAUUUGUCAGCAAGAACUAACUUCUGCCACAAUGCCAACCCAACCCUGGCUAAGACAACAAAAGUUUACUUCUCACUGGUAUCAGGUCAUCCCGUAGUUCACCACGUGUAGAACCCCCUCCUGAACCGUUGGUUGCUACUAGGUGUUGAGAGAAGACACCAGAUGGGCGAGUGGUGAGAAGGCCUGGAAGGGACAUACAUCAGUGGAGCCUACGUUGUCCUGACUGAGACACAGACACGUGGCACCACCUUUAUAAAGACUCAUGGAGCAGUGUGGUGAUGUGCCCGGAAGGAACAGGAGAAACACAGUGAAAAGCACUAGCCUUAUGGUGUAUUAUAUAACACUUCAGUAGAAUUUGAGACCAUACCCUAAGUCAACCUGAGAUUUCUUCAGUGAAACAUUAACACCCACUAAGUGGGACAAAUACAGAUAGUACUAAUAACAAUGAUGAAAAGCCUCACGCCAAGGCAGAUUAGGCGUUUCCACCAAAUAAGUUUUGGUACCAAAUUUUUUUUGACAAAAUCCUUCAGGUUUCCAGAGGAUUUUGCAUUUCAGAAUUACAGCUAAGGGAUUAUGAACGUGCAGUGUGAUCAUUAUACAAAUGAAGAAACCUCUCAAACGGCAGUAAGAAAAUAGGGAUGGGACUUCAACUCAGACCCAUGACCGGCAAAAUUACACUUAGGAAAACUGCAAAUGACCAAAUGGCUCCUAUCAUUCUAAACAUCAUUAAUGAUAUCAGCCCACAGACAUAAAGAAACAAAGGAGAUACUGCAAUCAAUUCCAGUGUUGAUUGUAUCCUGUUCUGUCCCAGCACUCACUGGGCUAGCAGGCGGAGGGAAUAUAGAGAAGAGGUAAUCCUGACCAAGAGAACGCCAGGGUAUGGUGGAAGAGAGAUUUAGGAUACAUCUAUAGUAACAAGCAGACUCUGAUCCAUGCUCUAAAUGUAUGAAGUCUUAAAACGACUGAUUCUGAAGUAUAGAAUUAGGGAAGGCUCACAGAAAAGGCACUGCCAUCCGAGUUAGACCUGGAAGGAAGAACAGAACUGUGAACGAGAAGAAGUCUGUUGGGCAGAUGGGGGGAGACUGAACAAACGAAAAGAGGCAGGAGGUAUUUAAAGACCUGAAUAAUGAAUGGCAAAUGGCUUCUUAUUAAGAGCACCUGAGUGGACAGUUCGGAGUUUUAAAUUUUACCUAAUUUUCAUCAAGAUGCCUAGACAGUUUAAGAUUAAUAAGUCAAAGAGGACCAUGAAAAGUCCACGGUAGGAAAGCCAUUUGGCUAGGUGAUGAUGCAACUUACUGAGAAUCAGACUAUGAGAAGAACCUAUCUGGGUUCAAACAUAGGAAAGGGAAAAUUUUGAAUUUUAAAUUUUAAAUAAGUUGAGAUGAAGUGUUUGGAGCAUCACUAAGGAGUUAUCUGUGUUAUCUGAGGACUUUUACUCUGGUUGCUAAGAGGCUUUUUAUGUUGACUUCUUAGGUCUAAUCACGCUAAUCUCCAGUUUAGCGAGGUUCUUUAUUACAUGUGCCACAUAAAUAAGGUUUAGCAAGCACUGGUUCUAUUCAUUCAGGAGAAACAAAUCUUUAUAGCAAAGUAAGACAUGUGAGGAACAUGUACCGACUUGUACUUCUGCCAUUUUUGUAGCAAUUUCCUUGUAUGUCAACACGAUUUUAAAGAGUGCCGGCCAAUGUGACGAAAACGUUAGCACGAUACAACUGAACUUCCCUGUAUGCUAAUUAUCAAGGAAAAGAAAUAAUCAAAAGACAAAAUUCCUUUAAAGAAUAUACUUAAUGUACUUCAAUGUGGGUGGUUUAAUGUAUUAAAGAAAAAAAACUUUGUUGGGGUGCCUAGCUGGCUCAAUCAGUAAAGCAUGUGACUCUUGAUCUCAGGGUCAUGAGCUGAAGCCCCCCCACUGGAUAUGGAGCCCACUUAAAAAGAAAAAUUAAAAAAAACAAAAACAAAAACUUUGUUAACACGGUAUGACAGUAUCACUUCCAUAUGCAAUCCUUUUUUUUCUUUUCUUACUAAGCUUGUUUUAUAUUAAUAAGGUUUAACUUCUUUUCUAAUAGAUUAUGUAUUAUUAAAUGCCUGAAAUGCUAUAUUCCUGAGUCAUUUUUAAAACUUCAAAAUAACAUGGUCAGAAUCAACCUAUAAACAUAUAAGCAAGAUGUUUUAAGAAAAAUUAAGACAUCUGUCUCUUAAUAUACUUACUUGAUUUAAAGUCAUGAUAAUCACAGCAGGCAAAAUAAUAGAGUCCUCUAGUUAGUCUAGUGAAGAAACUAAUGAACACAUAGAUAAGAGGAAUAACAAAGAUAUGUUCACCGCCUUCCUUAAAUAAAGUAGAAUUUUAGAAACACUUUAUUUGAAUUCCUUGAUCUCUGCCAAGGUCCAGCUGUUUAUACUAGCUGUUUGGAAAAUACUCAAUAGGACAUUUCCAAAGAGCAAAUCCCAGGUCAAGUUCAGAACAUGUGACCUCCUCACUGAUUGUAUUUAAACAGCAUACGGUAAGAAGUUAGAUACCCCAAGGGACACUGGAGAAAGCCUGAAUUCUUAAUCUUCAAAGAAAAAAACAUCAAAAGGAAAAUGGUGUUCAAGCUGUCACUCAUCAGCCUGUUCCUCCUGUUUGUCGCUAACACUUUGGGGAGCACUACAACAUUAAUGACCUCAAGGUCUAUGACAGUCUCGAGUCCCGCGGUGAGUCUGAAUUCUCUGACAAUCCCAAAUUCCAAGACAACCUCGAAUUCCAACACAACCUCGAAUUCUAACACAAUCUCGACUCUCAAGACAACUUCAAAUCUCCAAAGAACCUCAAAUACAAAGAUGACUUCAAAUGCCAAGACACCUCUGAAAACAGCAGUGACCCCAAAGAUAGCCACAACCAUGAACGUGAUGACUAUGGGAAGUGGUGGCACGAAACUGAAUCCAAUGGACAGCACUCACUUUCUUUUCUAUAUAAUAUGCUCACUGUUUUGUGUGCACUCAGGCUGAAGUGGACUUGAACUUCUGCAUUCCUAUCUCAGUUCAUUACUAUCUGCCGAAUUACAACAAGCACACUAGGAAAAUCAAAUUUAUUUCAACUUACUUGUUAGGAAGUUAUCAUUAUCCUGGCUUAAUUAGGUUGUAGAUUUUAAUUGUGUAAGUUUAUUACCUUAAUAUAAUGGUUUUCUUCCUUAAAAAUGCUAAAACAAGCAAAAUGCCACAUGUUUGCCUUUUAAAUGUCUGCAGAAUUGAAUUGAAACUCAGAUUUUUACAUUAAAAGUGUAAGAGAAGAAAUU